CAAAUAAAUGCGAAUGCAUAAAAUAACUAUGCAUGACUCUUAUUCCGUUAAUUAUUAUUCUGAGAUAAUAAACCGAGAAAUUUCUAAUAAUAAUCCAACUAUAGGAUUAAAGCUCGUUUUAUGAAAUCAGAUAGUAAAUCUUAAUAAUCUACUCAUCUUGAAUUAGUCUAACUUACUUAUAAAAAAAAUCACUAAUUAAAUAUAAUUAGGAUUAAUAGUGGGGCCUAAAUUAAUAAGUCUCAUUGGGCUUAACUAAAUAAAUUUCAUUGGACUUAAUCAAUUAAAUUGUAGGAGCCCAAAUAAUAUAAAUUCGAGACCCAUUAUUAUUAAAUAAUAGGAGUCCAAAUAAUAAUUAAUGUGAACUGGAAAGAAUUAAUCUUAGUCCAAUAGACAAUUUAAUCGGCUCAAAUGACGAAUUAACAGCUGGGCUGAACUAAACAAAUCUGAAACAGGCCCAAUAAAAUUAAAUAAAUUCCAGCCCAAGAACAUUAAAUAAAUUCGGCCCAACUCUUAAAACCUAGCCCAAACACCUUCUUUUCUUCUCUAUCAGUCACGCCUCACGCACACACACUUUCCAUUAUCUCUCUCUCUCUAUCUUUAUUAAAGCAUAACACUCUUUCUCUCUCUCUUAAUUAAAGCAGAAUACUUUUCUUCAAUAAUAUCGGUUCUUCUCUCUCUCAAUUAUCGAAACUCAAUUUUUUUUUUUAUAAGGCAGCACAACUCUCUCUCUUAAUUCUCAGGACACAAAACGCUGCUCAACAUUAUCUCUCUCUCUCGCUCGAUCCAGCCAUCGCCGCUGCAAAUCCGGCGAGUAGCCGUUCGUCCUCCUCCCUCUCCUUAAUUCUCUCUCAAAACACUCUCUCACGGUUCCUCCAAAUUCGCCGCACAGCCUCUCUUCCGGCGACCGCACGGCCGCUGCCCUCGUCUCCCUCAGAAAUCCGCCGUUGGCGGAAGCUCGCCGGAGGAUCAGCGCCGACCAGCCGCUGCCACCAGCUCCCUCUGAUCUCUCUCUCUCACUCCACGCACGCUGACACACACACAGAACACGACGCACACACACACACGCUGCAGCAGCGACCGCCGGCGAUACCACACCGCCGCUGCCGACCGCCGCGCCUGACCUCCAGCCCAGCCCUCUGCAACCCCCACGACGCACGCCCUCAUCUCUCAUGCUCCAUCCUCGGCCGGAAAACAGCGGCGGAGCCGCCGUCGAGCCCUAGCCCCAUUUCUGGAAUCGCCGUCGUCGCGGCCCUUCUCCGGCGCGAUGGAUCGCCGCCGUCAUUCCCUCGGCUCGACUGAACAGGCUGAACUCAAGAAGAAAAUGGAGAAGUUUAAGUUGAGCUUACCUCUUGGGGUCCAGAUUGCAGCUGAAAUAAACUCUCUAUGAUUUUUGGUGCAUAAAGGAAGGAGGGGGAAUCGUAGUUGGUGAUUUUCAGGCUACUAUGAAGCCCUCAAUUUAUAGGCAGAUUAGGCCGCAAAACUUGAAAACUAUUUACAGCAAAUGUGGAAAUUUUGCUGCAACUUUUGACAAAAAUGAAAUUGGUUGGUGGCUGCCAUAAUUUUUUUUUUUACUAAUAGUGGAAUUUCAUGUGAGACUUUGAAAAGUGGAGUACUCAUAGGGUGCGUCUGAUCCUAGUUGUAUCUUAGCAUGCUUCAAAUAUUAAAUUGUGACUUUUGCAGGGAAAAGAGUAUGACCUUAGCAGAGUUAAAGAAAAGGGGCUGCUAUGCGUGUACUAUCUAUAUUUUAUUUCUUGAUUUUGUAUACUCUAUUGAUAGUGUAGGAGCGUAGGGAGUGUGAAAGAAAAAUGAUGAUUGUAAGUAAAUAGAAUUGAGGUGACUAAUAAAAAUCUCUUGCCUUGAUUAAUUAAUCAAGUAUUUGUAAAACAAA